GGGUUGUGGGGUUAUGGGGCUGGAGGUCGGGGCUGUGGGCUGUGGGGUUGUGGGGCUGUGGGAUUAUGGGGACUGGAGGCUGUGGGGCUGUGGGGUUAUGGGGCUGGAGAUCGGGGCUGUGGGGUUAUGGGGUUGUGGGCUGUGGGGUUAUGGGGCUGUGGGGUUGUGCAGCUGGAGGUCAGGGCUGUGGGGUUGUGGGGCUGUGGGGUUGUGGGGAUGGAGGUCAGGGCUGUGGGGUUAUGGGGCUGUGGGGCUGGAGGCUGCGGGGCUGUGGGGUUACGGGGAUUGGAGGCUGUGGGGCUGUGGGGUUGUGGGGCUGGAGGUCAGGGCCGUUGGGCUGGGGGGCCGUGGGGCUGGGGGUAAUGGGGCUGGGGGCUGUGGGGCUAUGGGGACUGGAGGCUGUGGGGCUGUGGGGUUAUGGGGACUGGAGGCUGUGGGUUUAUGGGGCUGUGGGGUUGUGGGGCUGGAGGUCAGGGCUGUGGGUUUAUGGGGCUGGAGGCUGUGGGGCUGGGGGGUCAUGGGGCUGGGGGGCCAUAGGGCUGGAGGCCAGGAGCUGUGGGGUUAUGGGGCUGUGGGGUUAUGGGGUUAUGGGCUGUGGGUUUGUGGGGCUGUGGGGCCAUGGGUCUGGGGGCUGUGGGGCUGGGGGCUGUGGGGCUAUGGGGACUGGAGGUUGUGGGGCUGGAGGCCAGGGGCUGUAGGGUUGUGGGGCUGGAGGUCAGGGCGGUGGGGUUAUGGG
ensembl:lncRNA